CUGUUAAAACCCAGUUCAGGAUCAGUCCUCAUAAUAUCUGUCCUGUUAAAACCCAGUUCAGGACCAGUCCUCAUAAUGUCUGUCCUGUUAAAACCCAGUUCAGUUUUACUCUACUGAGUAAAAACAUUGAGCAGGGACAUAAAAGCGUUCCCGGAAAGGAAAGUCCCUGAAUAAAUCAAUUCUCUCUCUUUCCAGAAACCAGGCCGCUUUGCCUUCUGAGAAAGUCCCCUAUCAAAGAGCAGUUACAGUCAGACAUCACCUCAUCAUUUAACAGCAGCCCAGGUUAUCAGCUCCAUCUAGAGGCCCAGGUUAUCAGCUCCAUCUAGAGACCCAGGUUAUCAGCUCCAUCUAGAGGCCCAGGUUAUCAGCUCCAUCUAGAGACCCAGGUUAUCAGCUCCAUCUAGAGACCCAGAUUAUCAGCUCCAUCUAGUGGCCCAGGUUAUCAGCUCCAUCUAGAGACCCAGGUUAUCAGCUCCAUCUAGAGACCCAGGUUAUCAGCUCCAUCUAGAGACCCAGGUUAUCAGCUCCAUCUAUUGGUCCAGGUUGUCAGCUCCAUCUAGAGGCCCAGGUUAUCAGCUCCAUCUAGUGGCCCAGGUUAUCAGCUCCAUCUAGAGACCCAGGUUAUCAGCUCCAUCUAGAGGCCCAGGUUAUCAGCUCCAUCUAGAGACCCAGGUUAUCAGCUCCAUCUAGAGACCCAGGUUAUCAGCUCCAUCUAGAGACCCAGGUUAUCAGCUCCAUCUAGAGACCCAGGUUAUCAGCUCCAUCUAGAGACCCAGGUUAUCAGCUCCAUCUAGUGGCCCAGGUUAUCAGCUCCAUCUAGUGGUCCAGGUUAUCAGCUCCAUCUAGUGGUCCAGGUUAUCAGCUCCAUCUAGAG
rnacentral:lncRNA from 1 species